rnacentral:rRNA from 1 species
ACGCUCGACACCUACGGGGGGCAGCAGUGGGGAAUAUUGCACAAUGGGGGAAACCCUGAUGCAGCGACGCCGCGUGAGUGAAGAAGUAUUUCGGUAUGUAAAGCUCUAUCAGCAGGGAAGAAGAUGACGGUACCUGAGUAAGAAGCCCCGGCUAACUACGUGCCAGCAGCCGGGUAAUCUGAGCGGGCUGGCAAGGC